GGAGAGGUGCCCGGAGUGGUUUAUCGGGGACCGCGCGCAAGCAAGGUCGGGCCCUCAACGGUCCACGCAGGUUCGAAUCCUGCCCUCUCCG
rnacentral:tRNA from 1 species